ACGAACACCGCCAUUUUGGAAGUUUGACCGGUCGCGAUUUCCUAUUUCAGUGAACGAAAAAUCAAAUUUAAAGCAUUUUCACACAUUGAAAACCUUCAAGACACGAUGGCCUAAUCCUGAAAUUUGCAGUCUUUUCAAAGGUAUAUAGGCCUAUAGGCUUAAAUCACGGAGCCUGGGGUUGGCCUGGAGCGACCGUAAGAAUGAGAUCGGGAAAAAUCUUCAGAUGCAGAAAGCAACCGGAGGUGGCUGGCAACGUAGAGGAUUCGAAUUCGGGUUUCGAUCCGGGUUCGCCCGGCGGUUCGGGUUUGCCUGCAAUCUUGGCCUGGUCACGUUUGGUUGGGUUUGUAAAACAUCGAAAUGUGCAGUAAAAUCACAAUGUCCGCCGACGAUUCGAUGGUGCUAGAUGUGCCCCGCAACGAAAAUCAUCAGACAGUUGCGAGCGUAUUUCUUGCAAACAAUUAGCUGAUAGCCAAUCAACACAUUUGCCAGUUCGGUCACUUUGAUCUUCCCAAGGCCUGAGAGUUUUGGUGCAGCAUCCCGUAUAAAUGCC